rnacentral:lncRNA from 10 species
GGGACCCCUUCCAUGCUGUGGAAGCUUUGUACUUUCGCUCUGCUCAAUAAAACCUACAGCUCAUUCUCUCUCUUGGUCCAAGUAUCUGUCACUCGCCAUGGUCAGCCGCCACACCAAUUCUUUGGCGUGGCUAGGCAAAGAACCUUGGGUGUUACAUCUUAGUGAGCCAGCCAGGAGACUCCAGGAAGAGCAUCCCAACUGCCACGCAGAUAAAGGCCAUCAAGCUACAAAUGGCCUUACAAAUGGAACCUCAAAUGAAUUUAACUCAAGCUUCUACCGAGGACCCCAGGAUCAGCCCACUGGUCUCUUAACUGGCCUAGAAAGUUCCCCUCUGGAGGACAAUACAACAGCAGGGCCCCAUCGUCGCCCCUAACCAGCAGGAAGUAGCUAGAGCAGUCAUCGCCCAGUUCCCAACAGCAGUUGGGGUGUCCUGUUUAGAGGGGGGACUGAGAGGUGAUGCCAGCUGAGCUUCCUGGGUUGAGUAGGGGCUUGGAAAGCUGUAAAACUCACUCAUUUCCUGCAUCAGGACUUACUUCAGUUCUGGAUAAAUAAUACUGAGGAUAUAUGCUUAAAAUAUUCCUAACACCAGGAUUUGCUUAUAUGUUUUCUUCCCAAGAAAGCUAUAAACAGCGAGAAUUUUAGCUGUAAGUUUUCCUGUAUGCCCCACUCCUCCCCUGCCAAAACCAGAGUUAAAGAAAAGAUUAACUGCCCAUUUUUCUGUGAUCAGCGGACCUUAUCUAUCCUCCCAAUUCCUUAUGAACAUAGUUCGUUAAGUUCUAUAAGAUCCUCUUUUUCUUGCUGUACAGCUCCAAGGCCACAAAACGAGUAAGCAUAAGUCGCAAUUUCAGAUUUUCUCAAAAUCUAAGGCAUGUCACAAAAUAAUUUACUGCCUUUGUUUCUUGCUCCUGUAACAUUCUUCCCGCCUCACGUAUCUCCCGCCUUAAAGAGUUUAAAAGGCAAUCACCCAAGCUAGCAGUGGCAACCCAUUUGGGACCCCUUCCACACUGUAGAAGCUUUGUACUUUCACUCUGC